CCCAAUUCCCGUUCUAGCUCUUGUUUCUCUUGCACAAACGCUCUUUUGUCUCCAUUUUUCUCUCGAACAAUGUCGGUCUCUCGGAUUCUCUCUCCAUUCGCUCGACUUCGUUCUCUCAUCCAAAAACUUGCAAUUACAAUAAGAUCCUAGGUUCUCUACAGUCGCAGCAGUUUUAUAUUUUUCUGUUAGCAGCAUUCAAGCUCAGUAAGAUUACAUAAGUUUUAAGGAAGAAGAUUGAUCGAAGGGUAUGCUGUCAAACUGUGAAGUGACCAAGCAGGCGUAGGACCAUAUUCCUAUUGUCGGUCUCUUAUUUUGAGUGACUUUGCAGAUUUAGGUUUUUAUAUUAUUUAUCUUACCUAAAUAACUUAUAACUGUGACUUUUUACAUGUGAUGUUUGCAAUUCGAAUAGCCGACAUUUUUUUACAAAUAGCACUUCAUCUAUUUAUUAUAAAUAAUUUUGAUGCAGGAAAGUUGGUUGGCCAUCUGCAGUAGUUUGUCUUAAAUUAACUGAUCCAUCAGAAUCAACAAAUGUCUUUAUAUAAGGAGGAUCAAGGUAUUCCAAUUGCAGAAUUUCAAAGUUCAAAUAAAAGCAUUUUGGAGCUGCAACUGAUCCUAAAAUAUUUGUAUAGGUUAUACGUGUAUGGGAUACAGAAAUUUGCUCAUUAUAUAUGCAACAUACUGGUACUGGAAUCUACAGGAAGGUACGAACCAGCCGGACUUUCAUUGCACAAUUAGUUUUCAGAGGAGAAAUGCCUCUUGCAACAAUGUACAUUGGAGAUUUGGAGCCAUGGUGACUUUAAAGAAGGAUCAAGCGGAUAUGAACUGAACCGUUUUCAAUUGAAUGUAUUUAUAGAGUAAUGUAAUGUUUCGAGCCGUAAGUUAUACAAACGAUGUCGAGCCGUAAAUAUAAAAGCAAAAGUAAAUGUUGUUUGAUCGAAA